rnacentral:tRNA from 1 species
GCGGCUGUGAUGAUGGUCAUCGGCCAGGCUGCCAGCUUGGCCACGCGGGUCCGAUUCCCGCCAGCCGCUCCA